CCAAAGAGACCUUGGGUCUAUUUUCCUUUUAAACCCUCUUUCUUUUAUCAUUUAAGCUAUUUAAUCAUUUCCCACAAUUUUGCAUUUAAUACAAUUUAGUUCUUUUUGUUCAAUUAACUAUCAGAACUUUAAAAUUUCUUGACGAAACUUUAAUACUGACUUAUUAACACUCCAUAAAUAUUUAUAAAAAUAUUUAUGGCUCGAUUUAAAAUUCUCGAGGUCUCGAUAC
rnacentral:lncRNA from 1 species